rnacentral:rRNA from 1 species
GUCGAAAGGUGAACCGGGCUUCGGCCCGGGGAUCAGUGGCGAACGGGUGCGUAACACGUGGGCAAACUGCCCCCGACCCUGGGAUAACCCCGGGAAACCGGAGCUAAUACCGGAUACUCUCCUCCGACCGCAUGGUCGGAUGAGGAAAGGUCCGCCGGUCGGGGAUGGGCCCGCGGACUAUCAGCUCGUUGGUGGGGUAACGGCCUACCAAGGCGAAGACGGGUAGCUGGUCUGAGAGGACGACCAGCAACACUGGGACUGAGACACGGCGCAGACUCCUACGGGAGGCAGCAGUGGGGAAUCUUAGAUAAGGGUCGCAAUCCUGAUCUAGCCAUGCCGCGUGAGCGAUGAAGGCCUUAGGGUUGUAAAGCUCUUUCAGCUGGGAAGAUAAUGACUGUACCAGCAGAAGAAGCCCCGGCUAACUCCGUGCCAGCAGCCGCCGUAAGAC